rnacentral:rRNA from 1 species
AAUAGAUACCCUGGUAGUCCACGCCGUAAACGAUGAGUGCUAAGUGUUGGGGGUUUCCGCUCCUCAGUGCUGCAGCUAAAGCAUUAAGCACUCCGCCUGGGGAGUACGGUCGCAAGACUGAAACUCAAAGGAAUUGACGGGGGCCCGCACAAGCGGUGGAGCAUGUGGUUUAAUUCGAAGCAACGCGAAGAACCUUACCAGGUCUUGACAUCCCGGUGACCACUAUGGAGACAUAGUUUCCCCUUCGGGGGCAACGGUGACAGGUGGUGCAUGGUUGUCGUCAGCUCGUGUCGUGAGAUGUUGGGUUAAGUCCCGCAACGAGCGCAACCCUUAUUCUUAGUUGCCAUCAUUCAGUUGGGCACUCUAAGGAGACUGCCGGUGAUAAACCGGAGGAAGGUGGGGAUGACGUCAAAUCAUCAUGCCCCUUAUGACCUGGGCUACACACGUGCUACAAUGGACGGUACAAACGGUUGCCAACCCGCGAGGGGGAGCUAAUCCGAUAAAACCGUUCUCAGUUCGGAUUGUAGGCUGCAACUCGCCUAC